rnacentral:rRNA from 1 species
ACUUUUGACGGUGGAUCUCUUGGCUCACGCAUCGAUGAAGAACGCAGCCAGCUGCGAUAAGUAGUGUGAAUUGCAGAAUUCAGUGAAUCAUCGAAUCUUUGAACGCAAAUGGCGCUCUUGGGUUCUCCCAGGAGCAUGUCUGUCUGAGUGUCGGAUUGUCAUCCAUCGCCGGUGUGCGCUCCCGAGCGCGCGUCGGCGGCGUUGAGGCGUCACGGCCUUCCAGGAGUCGGCCGUGUCCCUUGAAAGGCAGAGAGACUCGCUGUGGUUCGGGGCUUGUUCCCGCAGCGCACCAGCGGAGGCUAAAAGUGUCAGCACUCCUUCGCGCGCUGCCGGGACCCCGCCGCGCCCGAGUCGCCCAGGCGAACGAGAGCUAUCCUCUUGACCUCAGAUCAGGCAAGGCUACCCGCUGAAUUUAAGCAUAUUAAUAAGCGGAGGAAAAGAAACUAACAAGGAUUCCCUCAGUAACGGCGAGUGAAGCGGGAAGAGCUCAAAUUUGAAAUCUCCGAUGCUUGCAUCGGCGAGUUGUAGUUGCGAGAAGCACUUUCUAGGCGGAUCGACGGUGCCUAAGUUGCUUGGAACGGCACGUCGCAGAGGGUGACAACCCCGUCUGUGGCGCCGCCGGCCGCCGACGAUGUGCUUUCGAAGAGUCGGGUUGUUUGGGAAUGCAGCCCAAAACGGGUGGUAAACUCCAUCUAAAGCUAAAUACUGGCGUGAGACCGAUAGCGAACAAGUACCGUGAGGGAAAGAUGAAAAGAACUUUGAAAAGAGAGUUAAAAAGUACGUGAAACCGUCGAAAGGGAAACGAAUGGACUCAGCAAUGCGCCCUCUGAGAUUCAGCCGGUGGGUGGCGGCGGCGCCGGGUUUGCGGAUCUGAAUGGACCGCGGCCUGGCGCCCGCCUCUCCCCGCCGUCGCACUUCUCUGGGGCGCGCGUCAACGUGGGUUGGGACUGGGUCUGAAAGGCGCCGGGAAGGUAGGUGUGGGCCUUCGGGUCCGUUCUGUUACAGCCCGGUUCUCUCAUGGCUCGGGCCCGACCGAGGAGCGACACGGGGCAUGCCUCCUGUGGCUAGGGUCCCGCCCUUCCGGCCGGCUGUCCAGUGCGGUGGACUGCUUGCAGUGCUCCGCGACGGCUGCCGGUCGUUGGGGUGGUGAUCUCGUACCAUGCCCCUAGGAUGUUGGCGGUCAUAUGGGUGCAUCCGACCCGUCUUGAAACACGGACCAAGGAGUCUAACAUGUGCGCGAGUCUUAGGGUGAGUCAAACCCCGAGGCGCAAUGAAAGUGAAGGCGGUUCCGGCCGCUGAGGUGAGAUCCGUGGCCCCCUCGCGGGGCGGCGGCGCAUCAUCGACCGACCUAUUCUACUCUUAGGAAGGUUUGAGUAAGAGCGUGUCUGUUGGGACCCGAAAGAUGGUGAACUAUGCCUGAAUAGGGUGAAGCCAGAGGAAACUCUGGUGGAGGCUCGUAGCGAUUCUGACGUGCAAAUCGAUCGUCAAAUUUGGGUAUAGGGGCGAAAGACUAAUCGAACUGUCUAGUAGCUGGUUCCCUCCGAAGUUUCCCUCAGGAUAGCUGGAACUCAGUACGCAGUUUUAUCAGGUAAAGCGAAUGAUUAGAGGCCUUAGGGUUAAAACAACCUUAACCUAUUCUCAAACUUUAAAUUGGUAAGAUGUCCGACUUGCUCGACUGAAGCCGGACCGGGAAUGCGAGUACCUAGUGGGCCAUUUUUGGUAAGCAGAACUGGCGAUGCGGGAUGAACCGAACGCCCAGUUAAGGUGCCAAAGUCGACGCUCAUCAGACCCCACAAAAGGUGUUGGUUGCUAUAGACAGCAGGACGGUGGCCAUGGAAGUCGGAACCCGCUAAGGAGUGUGUAACAACUCACCUGCCGAAGCAACUAGCCCUGAAAAUGGAUGGCGCUCAAGCGUCGCACCUAUACUGGGCCGUCGGGGCGAAUGCCAAGCCCCGACGAGUAGGAGGGCGCGGUGGUCGUGACGCAGCCUCUGGCGCGAGCCUGGGUGAAACGGCCUCCGGUGCAGAUCUUGGUGGUAGUAGCAAAUAUUCAAAUGAGAACUUUGAAGACCGAAGUGGAGAAAGGUUCCAUGUGAACAGCAGUUGGACAUGGGUUAGUCGAUCCUAAGAGAUAGGGUAAUGCCGUGUCAAAGUGCCCGAUCCUGGGCCGCCUAUCGAAAGGGAAUCGGGUUAAUAUUCCCGAACCGGAACACGGAUAUUGCCACCUGGUGGCAGGUGCGGCAACGCAACCGAACCCGGAGACGCCGGCGGGGGCCCCGGAAAGAGUUCUCUUUUCUUUUUAACAGGCUUUCACCCUGAAAUCAGAUUGUCUGGAGAUAGGGUUUGAUGCCUGGUAAAGCACCACACUUCUUGUGGUGUCCGGUGCGUUCUCGACGGCCCUUGAAAAUCCGGGGGAGACAAUGAUUUUCGUGUCCGGUCGUACUCAUAACCGCAGCAGGUCUCCAAGGUGAGCAGCCUCUGGUUGAUAGAACAAUGUAGGUAAGGGAAGUCGGCAAAACGGAUCCGUAACUUCGGGAAAAGGAUUGGCUCUAAGCGUUGGGUCUCUCGGGCUGAGACUUGAAGCGGGUGGAGCCGGCCCGGACUGGCCGAGGCUGACCGGCCCGAGCCCUUCGCGGGGCGGAGGCGGGGAGGCCAAGGUCGGACCGGGAAGGUACUGCCCGUGGAUUGGCCCAGCUAUGGCCGUCAGGUCAAAUCGGGAGGCGACGAACAACGAACUUAGAACUGGCAGUGACUAGGGGAAUCCGACUGUUUAAUUAAAACAAAGCAUUGCGAUGGCCGGAGACGGUGUUGACGCAAUGUGAUUUCUGCCCAGUGCUCUGAAUGUCAAAGUGAAGAAAUUCAACCAAGCGCGGGUAAACGGCGGGAGUAACUAUGACUCUCUUAAGGUAGCCAAAUGCCUCGUCAUCUAAUUAGUGACGCGCAUGAAUGGAUUAACGAGAUU